CCCUCCUCGCCUUCUCUUAGCAAGGGGGCGACAGGGCGGUUCGUGGCGCCUCUUCGCUCCCUUUUGAACAAGUUUCAUGACUUUUGAUCCCCUGGGGAUCUGACUGAUGCACUCCCCUGACCGGCACAGCCGCACUGAACGGGUGGGCCGGGCCAACGGGCGGACUCACCCGCUCCUGUUGGUACGGUCUUGAACGGGCGACGCCUCCCUUCAGUAAGACUGGUACAGUCCGGUACUACAACCGUUGACAUUCAAAACCCCCUCAACGUUCUGGUCUCCCCGUUAACCGAAUUUUUAUCAACAACGGUCGGCCCGCUGACGUCACGCAGACGCAGCGUGGACUGGGAGAGGCGGUUUGCCCUUUUCCGCCCCCUCCCCAUUUUUCAUCUGGGUUUCUUACCCGCCCCUUCUUUUCCGUUCCCCCCCGACCCCCGUGUCGCCACAGGCUUUCUUUAACCCGAGCAGCGCGUGCGCACGCGCACUGCCUUCCCCUCGAGCGAGAAAGACUGUGCGCGAGCGAGCGGCUCGCGCUCCCUCACGCGAGGUGUUUGGAGUGCGCGCGCGCGCGCUGCCGGGGCGAGCGAGAGGCAGGCGGCGCCUCGGGAGCUGGGCGGCAUCGCUGGGCUGAGGGCGCUCGGAGAGCGGACGCGGGCAGCGGGUCCCUGCUCUCGGGACCGCUGGCUCAACUCGCGCCCGGACAGAAACGGCUCUGAGCCUUGUCCGGUCAGCGUACCCGCCCCCCCCCUCCCCGGUGCGCGCGUGUGGGGGGUGAGCUCUGUCACCUGAACGCCUCGACGGGGGGGGCUUCUGGGGGGAUCCUUAACCACCUACCGCCCCCCAAGAUGGGCUGCACGCUGAGCGCGGAGGACAAGGCGGCGGUGGAGCGGAGCAAGAUGAUCGACAGGAACCUGCGGGAGGAUGGCGAGAAGGCGGCCAGGGAGGUCAAGCUGCUCCUCCUAGGAGCUGGUGAAUCAGGGAAAAGCACAAUUGUAAAACAAAUGAAGAUUAUCCAUGAAGCUGGUUAUUCAGAAGAAGAAUGUAAACAGUACAAAGCUGUUGUCUACAGUAAUACCAUUCAAUCCAUUAUUGCUAUCAUUAGAGCAAUGGGGAGAUUGAAGAUAGACUUUUGUGACCCAACCAGGGCUGAUGAUGCCCGACAACUCUUUGUACUAGCUGGAGCAGCAGAGGAAGGAUUUAUGACCACAGAACUUGCAGGAGUUAUCAAGAGAUUGUGGAAAGAUAGUGGAGUUCAAGCCUGUUUCAAUAGAUCCAGAGAAUACCAGCUUAAUGACUCUGCAGCAUAUUACUUGAAUGAUCUGGACAGGAUAGCACAAACCAGUUACAUACCAACUCAACAGGAUGUUCUCAGGACUAGAGUGAAAACUACAGGAAUAGUGGAAACUCAUUUUACUUUCAAAGAUCUUCAUUUUAAAAUGUUUGAUGUAGGAGGCCAGAGAUCAGAACGGAAGAAGUGGAUUCAUUGCUUUGAGGGAGUUACAGCAAUAAUCUUUUGUGUAGCGCUCAGUGAUUAUGAUUUGGUCCUAGCAGAAGAUGAGGAAAUGAAUCGGAUGCAUGAAAGUAUGAAAUUGUUUGACAGCAUCUGCAACAAUAAAUGGUUUACAGACACUUCUAUUAUUCUUUUCCUAAACAAGAAGGAUCUCUUUGAAGAAAAAAUCAAAAGGAGUCCCCUCACUAUUUGCUACCCUGAAUAUGCAGGAUCCAACACUUACGAAGAGGCAGCUGCGUACAUCCAGUGUCAAUUUGAAGAUCUGAACAAGAGAAAGGAUACAAAGGAAAUCUAUACUCACUUCACAUGUGCCACAGAUACCAAGAAUGUGCAGUUUGUUUUUGAUGCUGUAACUGACGUCAUCAUAAAAAAUAAUCUAAAAGACUGUGGCCUCUUCUAAGACUUUGCAUUCAAUGAUUUGAAGAAUGAUUUCACAAACUUCUAACCUGAUGGGGUUUUAAGAAGACAGAAGUACAAAACAAUUUGUGCUGAAAGACAGACCAGUACUGUACUUGCCUGUUUUAACAGCUUUAUUUAUGUUUGUCUUGUAAAUUUAAUUAAUUACAUAUUAGGUAACAAUGAAAAGUAUCUUAAUUGUAUGUAUACUUGUAAUUGUAGGAAUGUUAUUUGUAUGACCAUUGAACAGAAUAUUUUAAUAACUUGAUUUGUGUUCCAAAGUUUCCACGUUUUAUUAGAAUGCUCUGAAGGGGGGGUAAAUCUUUUUUUUUUUUUCCUCCCAUCUUUGGAUUAUUUAAACAUCUUGUAAAAGUUAAUUUUUGUUUCAUCUUAAAUAUGCAUGCUGACUUAUUAGGUUUUGUUUGCAAAACCAAGUGUUACAGGUUUCUUGGUAGUCUAAAUAAUCUUACGCUUGCUCAGAUUUAAAGGGACACUGUGAAUUCAAGUUUGUCCCUAACCUUAGGUUUUGAAAAAGCUCUUAAAAAUUUCAAGGCUAAUGAAAGGUUUCUUUGAUUUAUUAAAAUUCCAGUGGAAACAACUGAUUACAAAUAAACUUUUCUUGCAAUCUUUUCAGCCCAAACAUUACAACACCGAGAAACUGAAACCAGAUUAGUUAAUUUUCAUUACCCAAGAUGUUGGCAAUGUAAAAAGAAAUUAUUAGGAUCAAUAACAGAGAUUAAAUUUUUUAAAAUGUAUUUUGUCUAUUUAUCUUUUUCUCCUGUGAGUGGCAAAACUUUCGUAAAAACUCUCGUAAAAAUCAGUGGCAAAACUUGAGAGCAAGAAGCCUUUUUUUCUUUUCAUUCCCUGGAAUUAGAAUCAGGCUCCUAAUGUGUUGCUAUUAAUUGUAGGUAAGGAAACUAGUUCUACAAAUUAUUGGUAGUCAUGAAAACAUCAGACACUACCAAAAACAAUGCACAGUGCUAUCAAAUAUAGUACAGAUAUUUUCUGUUUCAAAUAUAAAGAAAAUCUUCAGUAUUUCCGAUAUCCAUAUGACGUGGUAAUUUGCUAAUGUUGACUUCUAAUGGUGUGCACUUGUGUGAUUUUUAAACUGACAGUGUCCCUUUAAAUAAUAUUGCAUAGAAUUUCUUUUCAGUUAACUUUACCUUUCAUUGUAUCAUUUACUAUGUAAGGAGUAUAUUAUGCAUUGCCUUAUGGGUAGUGCCAAAACUGAUUUUUAUACAUUUGAAACUGAAAUAAGCUUUUAUUUUGUAAAUAAGUUCUUAGAUGGUUGUCCUGAGCAUUUUGGUCACCUAAGAAAUGUAAUCACAACAAAUUUAGAAAUAUUACUUUCUAUACUUGUUAGAACAUUGUAUGUAACUACCGUACAUCAUAUUACUUUGUCCAAGACAAGAACACCUCUGAAACUGUUGCUAGUUUUCCAUUUUUUCUUACAGAUGCAUAUGCUUAGAAGUGUUCAUUCUAAAUGUCUAACUAGAGUUAUUUUAAAGUAUUAACUCAUUUUUGAUUGUGUAUUCUUUUUUUCAGGCUGUCAAAUGGCCUUGAAAUAGUUCAUAUCUCAGCUCUUUUCAUUCUUGUAAUUUUUCAUUAUUUGCUUUGGAAUUUCUAAAUAUUUUCAAAUGAGAGUAAAACAAAGGAGCAGUAAUAUUAAUUUAUUGAAAAUGUUCACACAGAACAAGCUCUUUUAGUAAGCAAUUAUGGUAAACGGUUUACAUCAAAUUCAUACUGCUUUGAAUUGUGAAUUAUCAUGCUGCAUUCACAACUGAUUUUAUGUAUCACUGAAAUAUUUUGUGACUAUUUAACUUGUUGUCUUUGUACUUGAUGUAAAAAAAAAAUUGGGAUUAAUCAAAAAUUAUUGAAAAUUUGUCUAAAUUCUUUGUGCCUUGCCUAAGAGAAAUGUUUUUCAUUAAAUUUACUGAUGGAAGACCUGCUGCAUCCACUUUGUGAAGAUAGUGAAUAGAAAUGAAAAGAAAUGAAAUUGUGAGUAAAUUCACAUCAGAGUGUAUGUAAGUAAAAUAAAUAUGAGCACACAUUGAUGACCAUUGCUGAUGGAUUCCUGAACUGUAUCCUGUAUAAUUUACUAACAUCCUAAUAAAAUUGAGAUUUUUUUUU